GAAGCCUUUAUCUUCAUCUCUCCAUCAGAACCAGUGGCCUGCUCCUCUCUCCCUUCUCUGCUUUCAUUGUCCACCAACACUGAAGUCAUAAAUGACUAGAGGGAGCUGGAGUGUGAGGGUCCAGAAACUUGUAUGAUCCAGAAUGCCAUGUCAUACAUCCAAUAAAAUUCAACUCUGCAAGCAUGAGAGAGAAGAGGAAGGAAAAGAGAGAAUCUGAAGUAGUUGGAUCACUAGAGGGCAAUAUCGGCCAAGAGAAAGAAGAAUUCUUCACCACCGUUUCU
rnacentral:lncRNA from 10 species